rnacentral:rRNA from 1 species
AUUGAACGCUGGCGGCAUGCCUUACACAUGCAAGUCGAACGGUAACGGGCCUUCGGGUGCCGCCGAGUGGCGAACGGGUGCGUAAUACAUCGGAACGUGCCCGAUCGUGGGGGAUAACGAGGCGAAAGCUUUGCUAAUUCCGCAUACGAUCUACGGAUGAAAGCAGGGGACCGCAAGGCCUUGCGCGGACGGAGCGGCCGAUGGCAGAUUAGGUAGUUGGUGGGAUAAAAGCUUACCAAGCCGACGAUCUGUAGCUGGUCUGAGAGGAUGAUCAGCCACACUGGGACUGAGACACGGCCCAGACUCCUACGGGAGGCAGCAGUGGGGAAUUUUGGACAAAGGGCACAAGCCUGAUCCAGCCAUGCCGCGUGCAGGAUGAAGGCCUUCGGGUUGUAAACUGCUUUUGUACGGAACGAAAAGCCUUCUUUUAAUACAGGAGGGUCAUGACGGUACCGUAAGAAUAAGCACCGGCUAACUACGUG